rnacentral:lncRNA from 1 species
UUGCUUUCUUUUGGCAAUUUUUGACAAAAAGGGGGAGAGCGUAGAACAGGGGGAGAGCAUGGAUGAGAACAGGCAAUGAACUAAGCAGAGGAUGAUGAGUUCAAGAACAAAGGGGGAGAUGUGAUCGAGAUGUGAAGAACAAAGGGGGAGAAGGUAUAAGAAUUUAAGGUUAAUCAUUUUUGAAUGAAUUGUUUUGCAGGAUUUCAAGACUUCAAGACUCCUAGUGCGUCUAAGUCAUAGAGUCUGUUUUAGGAGUUUUGUUGUAAUUUUGAGUUUCAAAUUGUAUUUGGAUUACACGCGAGGAGUUCAAUGUUUUGGUGAUGACAAUUGAACUUCAUUUUUCUGUAAAUUGUAAUUUUUGAGUUGGUGUGUGUUUUGUCACGAAAUUACCAAAGGGGGAGAUUGUUAAGUCUUGUGUAUUGGCAAGUUUCGUGAAGUGAGUCGGAGUCUUGAAGAACCGGUGCGUAUCAUCGAAGAUCGAAGAAUUCAAGAUUUCGAAGAAGUCAGAAAAUAACUCACGACGUGAAUCACGAUGCUCUGGUAAAGUUUUAAUUCAUGUUAUGGUGAUUCAUACUUAGUUAUAGGCAUUAGAAUCAUAAACUCAAAGUUUAAUGGAUUA